AUUGAACGCUGGCGGCAGGCCUAACACAUGCAGUCGAACGGUAACAGGAAGCAGCUUGCUGCUUUGCUGACGAGUGGCGGACGGGUGAGUAAUGUCUGGGAAACUGCCUGAUGGAGGGGGAUAACUACUGGAAACGGUAGCUAAUACCGCAUAACGUCGCAAGACCAAAGAGGGGGACCUUCGGGCCUCUUGCCAUCGGAUGUGCCCAGAUGGGAUUAGCUAGUAGGUGGGGUAACGGCUCACCUAGGCGACGAUCCCUAGCUGGUCUGAGAGGAUGACCAGCCACACUGGAACUGAGACACGGUCCAGACUCCUACGGGAGGCAGCAGUGGGGAAUAUUGCACAAUGGGCGCAAGCCUGAUGCAGCCAUGCCGCGUGUAUGAAGAAGGCCUUCGGGUUGUAAAGUACUUUUCAGCGGGGAGGAAGGCGAUAAGGUUAAUAACCUUGUCGAUUGACGUUACCCGCAGAAGA
rnacentral:rRNA from 1 species